CGAAAGCCUGACGGAGCAAGACCGCGUGAGGGAGGAAGGCUCUUGGGUUGUAAACCUCUUUUCUCAGGGAAGAAGCUCUGACGGUACCUGAGGAAUCAGCCUCGGCUAACUCCGUGCCAGCAGCCGCGGUAAUACGGAGGAGGCAAGCGUUAUCCGGAAUUAUUGGGCGUAAAGCGUCCGCAGGUGGCGAUUCAAGUCUGCUGUCAAAGCACGGGGCUUAACUCCGUAAAGGCAGUGGAAACUGAAUAGCUAGAGUGCCGUAGGGGUAGAGGGAAUUCCCGGUGUAGCGGUGAAAUGCGUAGAUAUUGGGAAGAACACCAGUGGCGAAGGCGCUCUACUGGGUCGCAACUGACGCUGAGGGACGAAAGCUAGGGGAGCG
rnacentral:rRNA from 1 species